ensembl:lncRNA
UCAAGUUAUUUUCUGUCCUAGAUCUUCAAACCAUUUCAUAAGUUUUGCCCUGUUUUAGCCUCAAAACAGGGUUCAGGAGUUCUCUGGUGGCUAGUGGUUAGGAUUCCGGGCUUUCACUGCCUUGGUCUGGGUUUAGUGCCUGGUUGGGGAAACUGAGAUUCUAUGACAUGGCCACACAAAAAAUAAAAUUAUGACUUUUGGAAUUCCCUGCUGGUGCAGUGGUUAGGAUUCUUCAUUUACACUGCCAAGGGAAUGGGUUCACGCCCUGGUUGGGGAACUAAUAUCCCACAAGCCAUGCAGUACAGCCAAAAAUAAAUAAACCAAAGGAAAAAACAAACAACAGCCCCCUCUCCCCAACACACACACACCAAACCAAAACAGAGCUCGGAACAGGCUAGGGAGAUGUUCUUUUUUCCAUAAUCCAGGCCUGGAGCCCACAUCUGACUGCUUGGCUGGCAGCUUCUCCAGACACAGGUUGACGUUGUCCCGUGAGGGACACCUGUACACUCGGAACAAUUAGCACAGUUCACACAGGUAGAUUCUUAACCACUGGACCACCAAGGAAGUCCUGAAAGUGAUUCUUGACUCACAGAAAGAACUCAGGAAAGAACGGCCACACUGUCUUUGCCUAAGAUGCCCAGACGACUGUAGGAAGAACCCCCUAUGGAAUGAAAAACAACUCCACCAUCACCAAGAACCCAUCAAAUGUUGACUAAAUAAAUGAUUUUCUUCUUUUACUAUGCAUGGUGUUCACCUGGGGUAAUUAUAGAAACACACAAUUGUCCAAACUCUGCCCCAGGUGUUCUGAUUCAAGGAGCCCAAGCUUAAGUAUGUGUAAAAAGUGUUUCGGGUGAUUCUAAUGAGUGGGCAGGUCUAGACUUCUUGGGCAGGCUCUAUGUUUUCCCAAGAAGAUCCAGAAUUAGUUUAGAAGAAUCUAAAAAGUAGAUUUGUUGUUUAGUGGUCUCCACUGAAACUAGAACUAUGUGAUUGUGCUGUAACUAAAUAAUUCUUUUAUCAUUAAUGCUGUGUGAAACUCUGGACCUCAGUCUCCUCAACUGUAUGAUAGAGGCUUCGAUUAUGUAUUUUCAAAGGUCUCUCCCAGUUUUGAUUUUCUAACAUAUUAUGACCCUGAAUUUGUUUAUCACUCAAAUUCCUGAAGAGGAUUACAGCUGGAGGAAUUGUGUAGGAAUUUGAAAAAGGCUGAAUAAAUAAAUAAAUAAUAAAUAACAGCACUCGGUAGAUCCAAAUCUUAAAGCUAACUCCCUGAAGAGGCUGGAUAAGAAUGCAGACUUAAUGGAGCUCCGUCUCUCGUGACCUUGGACAGAUUACCCAACUGCCUCAAUUUUCUUACCUGUAAAAUGGAGUCAGUAAUAGUACUGGCAUCACGAAAUUUUUCAGAUUAAAAGAGUUAAUCCAUGUGAAGUACUUUGAACACUGCUUGGCUACAAGUGCUCAAUAAAUAUUACCUGUUAUUAUUGUGAUUUCAAGGCUCCUUCCUUUUACUUCAGUUCAUUUAACUACAACCAAAAACACCUCUCUACCUUCAGGUUCUACUAUCCCAUUAGCUGAAUGAAAUUUGUAUCAAGGAGAAGAGCAAGCUCAACUAGUGUUGUGAAGGCAAGUCUGUUGCUGGAAUCCUGUGAGAAAAUCUUAAAGAGGGCAAAAUCUAGAUGUGUGAAUUUUCAUGCCCCCACAUGGGACUGCCAUAAGCUGUUUGCUCAAGAAAGAGAACAGUGUGGACUUCCCUGGUGGUCCAGUGGCUAAGACGCC